UGGGGAAUCUUAGACAAUGGGCGCAAGCCUGAUCUAGCCAUGCCGCGUGAGCGAUGAAGGCCUUAGGGUUGUAAAGCUCUUUCAGUGGGGAAGAUAAUGACUGUACCCACAGAAGAAGCCCCGGCUAACUCCGUGCCAGCAGCCGCGGUAAUACGGAGGGGGCUAGCGUUGUUCGGAAUUACUGGGCGUAAAGCGCACGUAGGCGGACUGGAAAGUCAGGGGUGAAAUCCCGGGGCUCAACCCCGGAACUGCCUUUGAAACUCCCGGUCUUGAGGUCGAGAGAGGUGAGUGGAAUUCCGAGUGUAGAGGUGAAAUUCGUAGAUAUAUGGGAGAACACCGGUGGCGAAAGCGGCUCUCUGGCCUGUAGCUGGCACUGAGGCUCGAAAGCGUGGGGAGCAAACA
rnacentral:rRNA from 1 species